rnacentral:lncRNA from 1 species
GACAGCAGCUCACGGCCUGGCCCCGCGUGCGCAGCCGGGGCCUGGGUUGGCGGUGGAGAUGGGGAGGGUCUGGGGGCCCCUGGGUGGGUGGUGGGGGUACCGUCAGCCCGGCUGCAGGGUUCCAGCGGAGGACAGGGAGCCUUCUCCAUCCCUGAAAACCAUCGCGGGGACAGUGGACUCAUCAGGAUGCCGGGACCCUCUAGUGUGUUCUGGAAGCAGAGGCUGGGUGUGGGCACGGGAACCUGUGAUUGUCCCCAGACACCGAGAGGCCCACAGGACCCCCAGUGCCCAGACCCCGGCUGCAGAUCGGGGGGUCCAGUCAUGUGUCGGGGAAGGAGGAGGGGAGCAGGGGCCACAGACAGGGGGUCCAGGAGGGCAGGGGGUCCAGGAGGGCAGAGGACCC